rnacentral:tRNA from 1 species
UAUUAAAUUAUUAUUUUGGCAGAUUAGUGCAAUGAAUUUAGAAUUCAUAAAAGUAAUUUUUUUACAAAUAAUAC